GUGAGGAAUAUUGGUCAAUGGGCGGGAGCCUGAACCAGCCAAGUCGCGUGAAGGAAGAAGGAUCUAUGGUUCGUAAACUUCUUUUGCAGGGGAAUAAAGUGCAGGACGUGUCCUGUUUUGUAUGUACCCUGAGAAUAAGGAUCGGCUAACUCCGUGCCAGCAGCCGCGGUAAUACGGAGGAUCCGAGCGUUAUCCGGAUUUAUUGGGUUUAAAGGGUGCGUAGGUGGUUUGAUAAGUCAGCGGUGAAAGUUUGCAGCUUAACUGUAAAAAUGCCGUUGAAACUGUCGGACUUGAGUGUAAAUGAGGUAGGCGGAAUGCGUGGUGUAGCGGUGAAAUGCAUAGAUAUCACGAAGAACUCCGAUUGCGAAGGCAGCUUACUAAGCUACAACUGACACUGAAGCACGAAAGCGUGGGGAUAAAACAGGAUUAGAAACCCGAGUAGUCC
rnacentral:rRNA from 1 species